AUGCUUGCCUCAGUAGCACACAUACUUUAGUUGGAACAAUAGAGAGAUUGGCACGGCCUCUGUGAAAGAAUGACAUGCAAAUUUGUGAAGCAUUCCAUAUUUUU
ensembl:snRNA RNU6-1199P RNA, U6 small nuclear 1199, pseudogene